AGAGAGAGACAUGCGCGCAUAUCAAUAAGCGGAGGAAAAGAAACUAACUAGGAUUCCCUCAGUAACGGCGAGUGAAGCGGGAAGAGCUCAAAUUUGAAAUCUUCAAGGUUCUACCUUGACGAAUUGUAGUUUAAAGAAGUGUUUUCUGUUGAAGUUUUGGUAAAAGUUCUUUGGAAUAGGACAUCAUAGAGGGUGAGAAUCCCGUAUUUGACCAUUACUUUCAACUUUGUGAUACACUUUCAAAGAGUCGGAUUGUUUGGGAAUGCAGUCCAAAAUGGGUGGUAAAUUUCAUCUAAAGCUAAAUAUUGGCGAGAGACCGAUAGCGAACAAGUACCGUGAGGGAAAGAUGAAAAGAACUUUGAAAAGAGAGUUAAACAGUACGUGAAAUUGUCAAAAGGGAAGCGUUUGACACCAGUGUUGUUUUCUCGAAAAUCAAUUAAAAAAGGCAGGAUUUUGUGUUGUAUUGACUUUAUCAGCUUUCUGCACUCUUUUCUUGUCUUUUUUAAUGCACUUUUCGUUUAACAAGUCAACAUCAAUUUCUUUUGUUGUAAAAGGGUCAUUGGAAGGUGGCUUUCUUUUCGGAGAAAGUGUUUAUAGCCUUUGGCCUCUGCAAUCGGAGAGAUUGAGGUCUGCAGCGUAGAUCCUUCGGGGUUAGAUACAUUUGUGCUAAGUUAUAGCCUUUCAUAGACAACUUGUUGACUAUGAUCAGUCAUGUAGCUUACUCGCUUAUGCUAUUUUACCUACGCUUAGGAUGUUGAUGUGAUACUGCGAGCA
rnacentral:rRNA from 1 species